CGCACUGCAAGCCCAGCCUGCAGGCACCGGCCUACCCUGCCGCGCACAGGAGCUAGCUUGCGCGUGCGCAGGCCUAUCCGUGCAAGCCCACUGCGCGGACAGUGCACACAUAAUGCGUGACGCCUGACCCUGUCCACACGUGGAUUGGCCUGUCUGCGCGUGACAAGACGCACACACACAGGACUAGCCCCACACCCUGGGCGAAUGGGAUGUGCGCGCUGUCGCGCGUGCACGCUCGCGCACAGCGCGUGGUGCCCGCGUGGGCGAGCCUCUCCCCCAGGUGUUUUCCCGCUAGAUUUCUCCCCUUUUUUCAUUUUCUCCUAAAAAUUAUUUUUUUAAUAAAAAUACUUACAAA
rnacentral:lncRNA from 1 species